UCAGGCCUAACACAUGCAAGUCGAACGGUAACGCGGGGCAACCUGGCGACGAGUGGCGAACGGGUGAGUAAUGUAUCGGAACGUGCCCAGUAGUGGGGGAUAGCCCGGCGAAAGCCGGAUUAAUACCGCAUGAGACCUAUGGGUGAAAGCGGGGGAUCGCAAGACCUCGCGCUAUUGGAGCGGCCGAUAUCAGAUUAGGUAGUUGGUGGGGUAAAGGCCUACCAAGCCGACGAUCUGUAGCUGGUCUGAGAGGACGACCAGCCACACUGGGACUGAGACACGGCCCAGACUCCUACGGGAGGCAGCAGUGGGGAAUUUUGGACAAUGGGCGCAAGCCUGAUCCAGCCAUGCCGCGUGCGGGAAGAAGGCCUUCGGGUUGUAAACCGAUGUGUCAGGGAAGAAAUCUUCUGGGCUAAUACCUCGGGAGG
rnacentral:rRNA from 1 species